AGCGAACGCUGGCGGCAUGCCUAACACAUGCAAGUCGAGCGCUCCCAGCAAUGGGGGAGCGGCGGACGGGUGAGUAACGCGUAGGAACGUAUCCUGAGGUGGGGGAUAACCCUGGGAAACUAGGGCUAAUACCGCAUGAUGGCGAGAGCCCAAAGAUUUAUCGCCUUGGGAGCGGCCUGCGUCUGAUUAGCUUGUUGGUGGGGUAACGGCCUACCAAGGCGAUGAUCAGUAGCUGGUCUGAGAGGAUGAUCAGCCACACUGGGACUGAGACACGGCCCAGACUCCUACGGGAGGCAGCAGUGGGGAAUAUUGGACAAUGGGCGAAAGCCUGAUCCAGCAAUGCCGCGUGGAUGAAGAAGGUCUUCGGAUUGUAAAGUCCUUUCGGCGGGGACGAUGAUGACGGUACCCGCAGAAGAAGCCCCGGCUAACUUCGUG
rnacentral:rRNA from 1 species